rnacentral:misc_RNA from 1 species
GAUGAAGAACGUAGCGAAAUGCGAUAACUAAUGUGAAUUGCAGAAUUCAGUGAAUCAUCGAGUCUUUGAACGCACAUUGCGCCCCCUGGUAUUCCGGGGGGCUUGCCUGUCCGAGCGUCAUUGCUGCCCUCAAGCACGGCUUGUGUGUUGGGCUCCGUCCCCCCGGGGACGGGCCCGAAAGGCAGCGGCGGCACCGAGUCCGGUCCUCGAGCGUAUGGGGCUUUGUCACCCGCUCUGUAGGCCCGGCCGGCGCCAGCCGACAACCCAUCAUCCUUUUCAGGUUGACCUCGGAUCAGGUAGGGAUACCCGCUGAACUUAAGCAUAUCAAUAAGCGGAGGA